GACGAACGCUGGCGGCGUGCUUAACACAUGCAAGUCGAACGGAAAGGCCCUGCUUGCAGGGUACUCGAGUGGCGAACGGGUGAGUAACACGUGGGUGAUCUGCCCUGCACUUCGGGAUAAGCCUGGGAAACUGGGUCUAAUACCGGAUAGGAGCCAUUUUUAGUGUGAUGGUUGGAAAGUUUUUUUCGGUGUAGGAUGAGCUCGCGGCCUAUCAGCUUGUUGGUGGGGUAAUGGCCUACCAAGGCGGCGACGGGUAGCCGGCCUGAGAGGGUGGACGGCCACAUUGGGACUGAGAUACGGCCCAGACUCCUACGGGAGGCAGCAGUGGGGAAUAUUGCACAAGGGGCGCAAGCCUGAUGCAGCGACGCCGCGGGGGGGAUGACGGCCUUCGGGUUGUAAACUCCUUUCGCUAGGGACGAAGCUUUUUGUGACGGUACCUAGAUAAGAAGCACCGGCUAACUACGUG
rnacentral:rRNA from 1 species